GAAAGACACAAAAUUUAGAAAAAGCAAACCGUAAUAGAAAACCCCAUUUAAUCAAUUAUUCUAAUUUUGUAGAGAGAGGACAGAAAGUGGCUGGUCAAAGCUCCAGAGAGCAACCGUGGACUUUCGAACUGCUGCUCUGAAGGGCUGAGACUGGAAAGUUAUGGAAAAGCUGAAGUCUUUGGAAUGUGCCAAUGUGGUGGUGGCCGAGUCAGUUGAGUCAUUGACUUGGGGUUUGGACGGUGUGACUCGUGGUGGAUCUGAACCCUGGUCCGGCGCCGGCUCAGUGGGUUGGCGUUACGUUUGACCUCCGUUAAUCCUGCCCAUUCCAGCUCAGAGACCCAUCCACUGUUCCCUUUUUUGGCUUUCCUAAUUUGCUCUGCUUCUAUGGAAAAUGUUUAUCCAACAGGAUCCUCUCUCCAGAUCAUUUUGGUGAGAAUCCUGAAAAUCUGUGAAUUGUAUUCGUUACAUUAUUCGGUAAAUUUUUGUCAAGUACUAUUUAUUUUUAUUUUUAAAUAAAAAUAUUUAAAAUGAUUUCCAA